rnacentral:lncRNA from 1 species
AACACACGAACAAGGCUCUAAAUCAUGGCUUAAGGAAUUCUAAGUCCAUUCCAUAAAGUCAUCUUGCCAUAUCUAAGGUCUAAUUGUGGUUUGGAAGGGUUUUGUUGCUCCAAAAACCCAAUUUAUAUGAGUUUACGGCCUAGAACUAUUCUAGGGCCGUAAACACAUGAUAAUGGUCCUAAUCCAUAUUUUAAACUCGGAUUUGAAGGCUAGAGAGGUUGCAUNAUAACAAGUUAGGGAAGUUACCUUGGUGAUUAGAAGCCUUAACCUUGAGGUUUUGGACCCUUAAACUUGGAUUUAGGAGAGAGGUUAGAGAGAGAGUAGAGAGAUGAAGCAAAAGCUUCAAAUAAAGCUUGAACACGUUUAUAUAUGUCCCAAAACUUGGACACAAAGGAAUUCUACCCGAUACCGGCAUUAAACGGGGCUUUUGGUCGCACUCGAUUAAGUUUCCGUAACUCGGCGGGGACGUUUCUAAAAUUUUUGAAAUGAACAUUUUGGGCUAAUUUCAUGAGUUCCUAAGGGGUUUGGACACUCAUUGGAUUAUAAUUAUAAUAAUAAUAAUAAACAUAUAAGUUUAAAUAAUUUAGCCCAAAACGAAAUCGAUAAACGGCGAAUUUUUACGGGUAGAACAGGUUUUCGGUGAAGGAAAAUUUCGGGUUGUUACAAUAUCCCCCCGUUAGAGGGAAUUUUGUCCCGAAAUUCGAAGAUUAAGAUACCGAACAUGAAUUGGAAUGAGAUACAGAUGGAUUUUCUGCUCCGAGUUUUCACGCUUCCUAUUGGAACCGGGUCUCCGUUUGACGUUCCAGCGAACAUUCAAUAUCGGGACGCGUCUUGGUUUCGUUGGGUAGAUACUUCUUAAGGACCGAGACGUGAAGUAUCAGAUGGGUGGUACUAAGUUACAAGGGUAGCCGAAGUUUGAAAGUUAUGAAAUCGAUCCUACGAGGAUCGCGAAGGGUCUAAUGUUAUUAAGUUACAAGUUUCUAUAGGUAUCUCUGGUGCCGACUAGUUCCCUAUCGUCUUAGCUUUUGGAAAGGUCCACGAGUAUAAUGGCCUUGCUAAUCUACAUAACCAGGGAAGAUGGUUGACCGAAGGGCACCACUACUGUGACAACCCGAAAUGUCCAUUUGUACGAACAAUAUCUAUUCAAUAGAAGUCAGUCCAAUUUCAGUGAUUUUCAGACUUUUCCGAACAAGUUAGUGUACCUUAGGGUUUACACUUUAGGAGAUAUCAGGAGAGUGGAUGCUCCUGAGUUUGUGAAAUUUGGACAUUUCAAGUUUCAUAAUGUUAUAGUCUAAGUUCAACAAUAAAAACCCCUUUUAUAUGUGUUUACGGCCCAAGCUUGCUCCAGGGCCGUAAACACAUGAACAAGGCUCUAAAUCACGGCUUAAGGCAUUCUAAGUCCAUUCCAUAAAGUCAUCUUGCCAUAUCUAAGGUCUAAUUGUGGUUUGGAAGGGUUUUGUUGCUCCAAAAACCCCAUUUAUAUGAGUUUAUGGCCUAGGACUGUUCUAGGGCCGUAAACACAUGAUAAUGGUCCUAAUCCAUGGUUUAAACUCGGAUUUGAAGGCUAGAGAGGUUGCAUAACAAGUUAGGUAUGGUACCUUGGUGAUUAGAAGCCUUAAAUUUGAGAUUUGG